AUUAUACUCCCUCCGUCCGAAAAUACUUGUCAUCAAAAUGGAAAAAAAAGGGAUGUAUCUAAAACUAAAAUACAUCUAGAUACAUCCCUUUUAUCCAUUUUGAUGACAAGUAUUUCCGGACGGAGGGAGUAUAUA
rnacentral:pre_miRNA from 1 species